rnacentral:rRNA from 1 species
GUGGGUAAUCUACCUCUGACUCGGGGAUAACAUCGCGAAAGUGAUGCUAAUACCGGAUAAUAUCUAUUCUACCUUGGCAUUAUAGAUCAAAGGUGGUCUCUACAUGUAAGCUACUGAUUGGAGAUGAGCCCGCGUACCAUUAGCUUGUUGGUAGGGUAACGGCCUACCAAGGCUACGAUGGUUAGCUGGUCUGAGAGGAUGAUCAGCCACACUGGAACUGACACACGGUCCAGACUCCUACGGGAGGCAGCAGUGAGGAAUUUUGCGCAAUGGGGGAAACCCUGACGCAGCAACCCGCGUGAGUGAUGAGGGCUUUCGGGUCGUAAAGCUCUGUCAAGUGGGAAGAAUCCACCUGAUGCUAAUAUCAUCAGGAAUUGACGGUACCACUGAAGGAAGCACCGGCUAACUCCGUGCCAGCAGCCGCGGUAAUACGGGGGGUGCAAGCGUUAUUCGGAAUCAUUGGGCGUAAAGAGCGCGUAGCGGCUUUCUAAGUCAGAUGUGAAAGCCCGGGGCUCAACCCCGAAGUGCAUUUGAAACUAUUGAGCUUGAGUAUGGGAGAGGGAAGUGGAAUUCCUGGUGUAGAGGUGAAAUUCGUAGAUAUCAGGAGGAACACCGGUGGCGAAGGGACUUCCUGGACCAAUACUGACGCUGAGGCGCGAAGCGUGGGGAGCAAACAGGAUUAGAUACCCUGGUAGUCCACGCAGUAAACGUUGAACACUAGGUGUAGCGGGUAUUGACCCCUGCUGUGCCGCAGUUAACGCAUUA